rnacentral:tRNA from 3 species
GGGCCCGUAGCUCAGCUGGGAGAGCGCUGCGUUCGCAACGCAGAGGCCGUGGGUUCAAUCCCCAUCGGGUCCACCA